rnacentral:rRNA from 1 species
UACGUAGGGGGCAAGCGUUGUCCGGAAUCAUUGGGCGUAAAGAGCGUGUAGGCGGCUCGGUAAGUCCGCUCUGAAAGCCCGGGGCUCAACCCCGGGAGGCGGGCGGAUACUGUCGGGCUAGAGUCCGGAAGAGGCGAGUGGAAUUCCUGGUGUAGCGGUGAAAUGCGCAGAUAUCAGGAGGAACACCGGUGGCGAAGGCGGGUCUCUGGGCCGAUACUGACGCUGAGGAGCGAAAGCGUGGGGAGCAAACAGG